rnacentral:rRNA from 1 species
AACCGCUGAAAGCAUCUAAGCGGGAAGCGAGCCUUGAGAUGAGUUCUCCCUGAUACUUUAAGUAUCCUAAAGGGUUGUCGUAGACUACGACGUUGAUAGGCAGGGUGUGUAAGCGUUGUGAGGCGUUGAGCUAACCUGUACUAAUUGCCCGUGAGGCUUAACCAUACAACACCCAAGGGGUUU